UUGUGCAGGCCGGGGGAAUUCUCCCACAAUGGACGAGAGUGUGAUGGAGCACCCGCCGCGUGAGUGAUGAAGUUUUUCGGAUCGUAAAACUCUCUUUUUAAAGAAGAACAAGUGUUAGAGUAACUGUUAACACUUUGACGGUAUUUAACCAGAAAGCCACGGCUAACUCCGUGCCAGCAGCCGCGCUAAUACGUAGGUGGCAAGCGUUGUCCGGAUUUAUUGGGCGUAAAGCGAGCGCAGGCGGUUUUGUAAGUCUGCUGUGAAAGCCCUCAGCUCAACUGAGGAAGUGCAGUGGAAACUACAACACUUGAGUCCAGAAGAGGAAAGUGGAACUCCACGCGUAGCGGUGAAAUGCGUAGAUAUAUGGAAGAACACCAGUGGCGAAGGCGGCUUUGUGGUCUGUUACUGACGCUGAGGCUCGAAAGCAUGGGUAGCGAACAGGAUUAGAUACCCUGGUAGUCCAUGCCGUAAACGAUGAAUACUAGGUGUUGGAGGGUUUCCGCCCUUCAGUGCCGCAGCUAACGCAUUAAGUAUUCCGCCUGGGGAGUACGACCGCAAGGUUGAAACUCAAAGGAAUUGACGGGGGCCCGCACAAGUGGUGGAGCAUGUGGUUUAAUUUGAUGCUACGCGAAGAACCUUACCAGCUUUUGACAUCUUCUGCCAACCCAAGAGAUUGGGCGUUCCCUUCGGGGACAGAAUGACAGUUUGGUGCAUGGUGUCCUUCCCGCCUUCCUUUUUUCU
rnacentral:rRNA from 2 species